rnacentral:rRNA from 1 species
UACGUAGGGUGCGAGCGUUAAUCGGAAUUACUGGGCGUAAAGGGUGCGCAGGCGGUCUCGUAAGCUGGGUGUGAAAGCCCCGGGCUUAACCUGGGAAUGGCAUUCAGGACUGCGAGGCUUUGAGUGCGGCAGAGGGAGGUGGAAUUCCACGUGUAGCAGUGAAACGCGUAGAGAUGUGGAGGAACACCGAUGGCGAAGGCAGCCUCCUGGGCCAGCACUGACGCUCAUGCACGAAAGCGUGGGGAGCAAACAGG